rnacentral:rRNA from 1 species
CAGCAGCCGCGGGAAAACGUAGGGUCCGAGCGUUGUCCGGAAUUACUGGGCGUAAAGAGCUCGUAGGUGGUUUGUCGCGUUGUUCGUGAAAACUCACAACUCAAUUGUGGGCGUGCGGGCGAUACGGGCAGACUGGAGUACUGCAGGGGAGACUGGAAUUCCUGGUGUAGCGGUGGAAUGCGCAGAUAUCAGGAGGAACACCGGUGGCGAAGGCGGGUCUCUGGGCAGUAACUGACGCUGAGGAGCGAAAGCGUGGGGAGCGAACAGGAUUAGAUACCCCAGUAGUCCCUGUCUCUUAUAC